rnacentral:rRNA from 1 species
GACGAACCGAGCGAACGUUGUUCGGAAUAACUGGGCUUAAAGGGCGCGUAGGCGGGCCGCCAAGUUCGAGGUGAAAUCCUCCGGCUCAACCGGAAGAACUGCCUCGAAUACUGGAGGCCUCGAGGCGGGUAGGGGCACGCGGAACUGUGGGUGGAGCGGUGAAAUGCGUUGAUAUCCACAGGAACUCCGGUGGCGAAGGCGGCGUGCUGGACCCGAUCUGACGCUGAGGCGCGAAAGCCAGGGGAGCAAACGGG